rnacentral:rRNA from 1 species
CCUACGAGCGGCAGCAGUGAGGAAUAUUGGUCAAUGGACGCAAGUCUGAACCAGCCAUGCCGCGUGCAGGAAGACGGCUCUAUGAGUUGUAAACUGCUUUUGUACGAGGGUAAACGCAGAUACGCGUAUCUGUCUGAAAGUAUCGUACGAAUAAGGAUCGGCUAACGCCGUGCCAACAGCCGCGGUAAUACGGAGGAGUCAAGCGUUAUCCGGAUUUAUUGGGUUUAAAGGGUGCGUAGGCGGUCGGCUAAGUUAGAGGUCAAAUCCCGCGGUUCAACUUCGGAAUUGCCUCUGAUACUUUUCGGCUAGAGAGUAGUUGCGGUAGGCGGAAUGUCUGGUGUAGCGGUGAAAUGCUUAGAGAUCAUACAGAACACCGAUUGCGAAGGCAGCUUACCAAGCUACUUCUGACGUUGUGGCACGAAAGCGUGGGGAGCAAACAGGAUUAGAUACCCCUGUAGUC